rnacentral:rRNA from 1 species
UACAGAGGGUGCGAGCGUUAAUCGGAAUUACUGGGCGUAAAGCGCACGUAGGCGGCUUGGUAUGUCGGGUGUGAAAUCCCCGGGCUCAACCUGGGAACUGCAUCCGAAACUGCCUUGCUCGAGUAUGGGAGAGGGAAGUGGAAUUUCCGGUGUAGCGGUGAAAUGCGUAGAUAUCGGAAGGAACAUCAGUGGCGAAGGCGACUUCCUGGACCAAUACUGACGCUCAGGUGCGAAAGCCAGGGGAGCAAACGGG